UUGAACUACAUUUCCCAGGAGCCCACUUACUUCCUGUCAUUGAGGCUAAGCCUCUUUGCUUCCUGUUGGCAACUGUGAUGGAGCGGGCUGUUUGAACAGCCAAUAAGUAGGUGAAGACCAAGAAAGGAAAACAGGCGUGGAUAAUAGCAUGUCAAUACCAGGAGAAAAAAAGCCUAUUACAUUAAUUGAGGGAAACGAGAAGAAGUCAGGCAUCCCUAUUCCCUGAGACACAACAAAAUUGAAAUUAAGCCAAUUAAUAAACCUACAAUGGCCUCUAAGUGUUCCAAGUAAAAGGAAGAGUCAAUCGAUGUGGCAAACUUCAUUACUGUCUUGUUUUAAGAAAUUGCCACAGACACCCUAACCUUCAGCAACCACCACCCGAUCAGUCAGCAGCCAUCACCACUGAGGCAAGAUCUUCCACUAGCAGAGAUCUGAAGGUGGAGAUAAUGGUUGACAAAUAGCUGCCUCAGUAUCCCUCGGUCAUAAGUCACCAACAACCACUCUUCAUGUCUUUUUCCUAUGAGCCUUCCUGUAUAACCUCUCUUUGUUGACAACCUGUGAAUUGAAAACGUCAUUUCCUGGAGUAUAAUAAACCAUUUUAUUCACUAG
rnacentral:lncRNA from 1 species